rnacentral:tRNA from 1 species
GCGCCUGUAGCUCAGGGGAUAGAGCAGGGGUUUCCUAAACCCCGUGUCGGAGGUUCGAAUCCUUCCAGGCGCA